CCUACGGGUGGCAGCAGUGAGGAAUAUUGGUCAAUGGACGAGAGUCUGAACCAGCCAAGUAGCGUGAAGGAUGACUGCCCUAUAGGUUGUAAACUUCUUUUAUAUGGGAAUAAAAUGUUCCACGUGUGGGAUUUUGUAUGUACCAUAUGAAUAAGGAUCGGCUAACUCCGUGCCAGCAGCCGCGGUAAUACGGAGGAUCCGAGCGUUAUCCGGAUUUAUUGGGUUUAAAGGGAGCGUAGGUGGAUUGUUAAGUCAGUUGUGAAAGUUUGCGGCUCAACCGUAAAAUUGCAGUUGAAACUGGCAGUCUUGAGUACAGUAGAGGUGGGCGGAAUUCGUGGUGUAGCGGUGAAAUGCUUAGAUAUCACGAAGAACUCAGAUUGCGAAGGCAGUUCACUGGACUGCAACUGACACUGAGGCUCGAAAGUGUGGGUAUCAAACAGGAUUAGAUACCCCAGUAGUC
rnacentral:rRNA from 1 species